rnacentral:rRNA from 1 species
AUUGAACGCUGGCGGCAGGCCUAACACAUGCAAGUCGAGCGGAUGAGGGAAGCUUGCUUCCCGAUUUAGCGGCGGACGGGUGAGUAAUGCCUAGGAAUCUGCCUAUUAGUGGGGGAUAACGUUCCGAAAGGAACGCUAAUACCGCAUACGUCCUACGGGAGAAAGUGGGGGAUCUUCGGACCUCACGCUAAUAGAUGAGCCUAGGUCGGAUUAGCUAGUUGGUGAGGUAACGGCUCACCAAGGCGACGAGCCGUAGCUGGUCUGAGAGGAUGAUCAGACACACUGGAACUGAGACACGGUCCAGACACCUACGGGAGGCAGCAGUGGGGAAGAUUGGACAAUGGGCGAAAGCCUGAUACAGCCAUGCCGCGUGUGUGAAGAAGGUCUUCGGAUUGUAAAGCACUUUAAGUUGGGAGGAAGGGUUGUAAGCUAAUAUCUUGCAGCUUUGACGUUACCAACAGAAUAAGCACCGGCUAACUCUGUGCCAGCCGCCGCGGUAACAC